rnacentral:rRNA from 1 species
GACGGAGGGGGCAAGCGUUGUCCGGAAUCACUGGGCGUAAAGCGCACGUAGGCGGGACGGUGCGUCGGUGCUGAAAGCGCCAGGCUUAACCUGGCGAGGCGUGCCGAUACGACCGACCUCGAGGCAGACAGAGGGUGGCGGAAUUCCGGGUGUAGUGGUGAAAUGCGUAGAGAUCCGGAGGAACACCGGUGGUGAAGGCGGUCUCCUGGGCCGAGGGCCGACGCUGAGGCGCGAGAGCGUGGGGAGCGAACCGG